AUUGAACGCUGGCGGCAGGCUUAACACGUGCAAGUCGAGCGGGGUGAUGGUGCUUGCACUAUCACUUAGCGGCGGACGGGUGAGUAAUGCUUAGGAAUCUGCCUAUUAGUGGGGGACAACAUCUCGAAAGGGAUGCUAAUACCGCAUACGUCCUACGGGAGAAAGCAGGGGAUCACUUGUGACCUUGCGCUAAUAGAUGAGCCUAAGUCGGAUUAGCUAGUUGGUGGGGUAAAGGUCUACCAAGGCGACGAUCUGUAGCGGGUCUGAGAGGCUGAUCCGCCACACUGGGACUAGGACACGGCCAAGACUCCUACGGGAGGUAGCAGUUGGGAAUAUUGGACAAUGGGGGGAACCCUGAUCCAGCCAUGCCGCGUGUGUGAAGAAGGCCCUAUGGUUGUAAAGCACUUUAAGCGAGGAGGAGGCUCUUUUGGUUAAUACCCAAGAUGAGUGGACGUUACUCGCAGAAUAAGCACCGGCUAACUCUGUGCCAGCCGCCGCCGUAA
rnacentral:rRNA from 1 species